AUGUACCAAUUCGUUUGACAAUAAAAACACAACGCUUGGAUCUCAAGAAUUUGCGCGAAGGUGUUGUUGAAGUUUACCAAAAUGGCCACUGGGGAUUUGUGUGCUUCAACGGAAUCAACGGGCAGUCAGAAGUCAAUGCUCUUUGUCACACUCUUGGGUUUAGGUUUGGUGGUUCGAGUUAUAAGAAACAAUAUAUUUACCUCUCGAAUAAUUCAUUGGACAUGACCAGAGAAUAUUUGCAAAACCUUUCAUGCCCCGAGAACGCAAUGCAUUUUAAUGAAUGAAGGCAUACAGACUGGGGAGAACGGUGUGAAUUCUACUAUUGUGGCUGUGAUCUUGAAAUGUCUAUGGCAUUGGCUAUAAGAUGUUGGACCGAUACGGAAAUUAGUUUUAAUCCCAAAGUGCAUGUAAGACUAGCAGGGUCGAAUGAAGAAAACGAAGGACGAGUUGAACUUUUCCACUACAACGUUUGGGGACGUUUGGCAGCAUCUUCGUUUGGUAAUUCGGAAGCAGACGUGUUUUGUAAAAUGAUGGGAUAUAAGUAUGGAGGUGUGCCGAAAUAUGAUAACAUCCCCCCUGGAUAUGGACAUAAGUGGAUAGACGACAUUAACUGUCCUCCGGAUGCCAACGAUUUACAGGAGUGUAGUUUUGAAUGGGAAAGUAGGAAGACUUCAGAAUUGUAUGAAGGUACUGUUGGAGUGAAGUGUAGGACAGAACCCAUUGAAGGAUAAAUGCUCAGACGCAAUUUGCAAGAAUGGUUCUUUACAAGCUUCAUGAUAUAAACGCAGACAUCCGACGCA